CUUCACUCGCUGUAGAGAGAGAUCCACUAAACCACAGCCGCUUCGGUAGGGGAGGCUGCCAAGAAGGGUGCGGCAGGGAUUUAAAAGCCUGGACAACCCCCUGCUCUUCUGAAAAGCGCCAUGGCAUGAAUGUCCCAGCCUCCCAGCACAGCGAACGGGGCAUUCCGGGACACAAGCAAACCUGCCCCACCCCAUUGUCGUACGCCAGGGCGCGCGCGCUCCAGCCCACACAGUCCCCGACUAGUCCCAGCUUCCACGCCCCCUUCCUCCCGCCGGUGGGAGUCACUGCGCAGGCGCAACGGCUGGGCAGUUGGAGGGAGGGGCUUUCCUCAGAGACGUUAACUCGUUGGGGUUGGCGCCGCCGCCAUUUUGAAUUCGCUCGCUGGUGGUCGGAUCCGUGGCUGCGGCGGCUAAGUGCGGCUCCGUGACCCCCCUGAGAGCGCGACAGAGACCGAGGGAAGACGAAACAUGGCAGCGAACAGCCGGAACUUGAAACAAGUGCGGAUCGAGAACAGCUCCCCGGCGGCCCCGCUCGGCAUGGUGGGGGGCGGCGGCCUGAAGGGGAUGCGGGGCCUGGAGCCGGACAACGAGGUAGGGGCCAUGGCGCUGGCGCAGGUCAAAGAGGCUGGCGACGAGGAGCAGGAGGUCGGGUUCACCAUCGACAUCAAGAGCUUCCUGAAGCCCGGCGAAAAGAGCUACACGCAGCGCUGCCGUCUCUUCGUGGGGAACCUGCCCACCGACAUCACCGAGGAGGACUUCAAGCGCCUCUUCGAGCGCUACGGGGAGCCCAGCGAGGUCUUUAUCAACCGCGACCGCGGCUUCGGCUUCAUCCGCCUGGAAUCUAGAACACUGGCUGAAAUAGCAAAGACAGAACUUGAUGGUACUAUUUUGAAGAGUAGACCACUUCGAAUUCGAUUUGCUACACACGGAGCUGCCUUAACAGUCAAGAAUCUUUCACCUGUGGUUUCCAAUGAGCUUCUGGAACAAGCUUUUUCUCAAUUUGGUCCAGUGGAGAGGGCUGUUGUUGUAGUAGAUGACCGUGGCAGAGCUACAGGAAAAGGUUUUGUAGAGUUUGCAGCAAAACCUCCGGCAAGGAAGGCUCUAGAGAGAUGCAGUGACGGGGCAUUCUUACUAACAACAACACCGCGACCUGUUGUUGUAGAACCUAUGGAACAAUUUGAUGAUGAAGAUGGGCUACCAGAGAAAUUAAUGCAAAAAACACAACAGUAUCAUAAGGAAAGGGAGCAGCCUCCACGUUUUGCUCAACCUGGAACAUUUGAAUUUGAGUAUGCUUCACGAUGGAAGGCUCUUGAUGAGAUGGAAAAGCAGCAGCGAGAACAGGUUGACAGGAAUAUUAGAGAAGCCAAAGAGAAACUAGAGGCAGAAAUGGAAGCAGCUAGACAUGAACAUCAGUUAAUGCUGAUGAGGCAAGAUCUCAUGAGGCGCCAGGAAGAACUGAGACGUUUGGAAGAACUUAGAAAUCAAGAGCUACAGAAACGCAAGCAAAUACAAUUGAGACAUGAAGAAGAACAUCGACGUCGUGAAGAAGAGAUGCUACGGCAGAGAGAACAGGAAGAACUGAGACGACAGCAGGAAGGAGGAUUUAAGCCAAAUUUCUUGGACAAUGUUAAAAUUAAAAUGCUAAAAUGCAGAUGAAGAUUGGUUUAAAAAAAAAAGUUCUGCUCUGUCUUAAGGGUACAGAGGGUCAAGAUCCUGAAGCCUUUUUUUUUUUUUUUUUUACUUUCAGGUGCAGAGAAUGUGAUGGGCGGGGAGAGAGAGAGAGAGAAGUGCUUCGGAGUGUUUGUACCUCCUUUUUAUAGUUUUAGUCCCUCUCUGGAAAAAUAUUUCCAUGUGAGACCCAGGAGACAAAGUCUACAUGGAAGAAUAUUCCCCGCUGGUUUGGUUUUUUUCACCAGUUUGAACUUCUUUUGUUUUCUCUCUCUGCUUGAUGACCCUGUUUCCUGCUUAAAUGCAAAUUAAGGCAAGCACAUAUUCCUUCAAGACAGACCUGACUUCUGCAUGGGUAGGACUGUGGGGUUUGGAACAUGCAUUAAUAUCAUACAGGGAAAUCUUAUAACUUCACAGACAAUGUUGCCACACAUUUUAUUAGGACAAUACUGACGAGCAAAUUUCAAAUAAUACAAGGCAUACCUUGUACAGAGAUUUUUACAGUAGUAAUAGGGUGCGAAUUCUGCCAAGCCAAACUUUAUGUACAGCCCAGAGAAAAGUCAGAGCCCUUGUGGCAGAUCCAACUAUAUACUACUUUUCAUAAAGAGAAGGUCUCUUCACCUCCAUCCAAAAUUCAUUCCUAAAAUAACUUCCGAGUUUCUCACAAAAUCAAACCAUUUGCUUACCAGUAUUUUUCCCAAAACCUCAUGCUUCUGAUGAGAGAAGGCAUUGUUCUCUAGACAUCCAACAGGUGCUGGCUUUCUAUCUGCAGUGAACGAAAGCAAUUAAGAAAACACCUAGACUAUUUAUCAUUGUAGCAGAGUGAUCAACAGAUCAUGCAUUACCUGCACAUAGCCUCUCUAAACGGAUCUCUGGCUGCAUCAUUCUUUGUUACCAACUAGCCUGAAGCACGCCCCGCUCCAACCCACUGAGGGGGUAAGAGAUCACUUUACCAGAGUGCAAGCAACCUCUACAGGAUCUCUAUGAGAUGUACCUCUAUUAGGUAUAUGUAGAAGCUCUGUCCAUGCUUUCACAAAACAUGUUGGAUUGGUCCAAACCUCUACUGCAUAUACAGCUUUGGGAAUGGCAUCCAUGCUAUCUGCAUCCUCAUACCCACCUCCUGUCUGAGUACUGCUGAUGUCCCACAUGUGCAAUACACUUAGGGACCAUCACUAGAAGAAGAAAUUAGGUCACUUACCUGUAACUGGAGGUUCUGAGAGAUAUGUGGUCCCUGUCUAUUCCACUAUCCAGCCUCCAACCCCCUCUGCUGUGGAUCACAACUGGAUUCAUGGUGAGAAGGAAUUGGAAAUGCGUUGAUCCACACUGCCCCAUAUAUCAUCCAUUCAGAGCAUGUGAAGAGCAACUGCGCACACGCGGAUCUCAAGUGCAUUGUGCACAAGUGAAGCCACAUGUAGAAAACAAAUAGGGACCACACAUAUUGAAUCUUCAGUUACAGGUAAAUAAUCUCCAUUGUUUCCUUAGUAUAGCUUCAGUAAACAAUUUUCAAUGAAUUUUUAAUAGUAUUAUAGGAAGGGAAGUUACAGUCCUCACACCAAGGAACAACUCUUCCCCUAGUACCGCAAUAUGGGUAUCACACUAUGCCCAGAACACCAAGCUUUAAAAACUGCUUCCUGUUCCUGCUGCUUCUCAGUCAGUGACUAUCACUACUAGUGCCUUUAGUAGUGCAUAUCUCUGCCAGGUGCAGUAUUUGUCACUCCUUCCUUAGCUGCACCUGCCAAGCGUGGGAAUUCCAGCUUUAAAAGCACCUCCUGGAGAAGGCUAUGCAGCUGUGACCCAAGCCAGGGGACCCAAAUCCCUGUGCAUUGGCUAGAAUCAGCAAGAAGCGUGCCUCCUACCAUGAGGUCUGAGUUAGGAGCGAGGGUAUUUACACCCAUGGACACUGUGGAGGCCAAGCAUUAAUUAAUGAAGGUUUGAAGG